rnacentral:rRNA from 1 species
UACGGAGGGGGCUAGCGUUGUUCGGAAUUACUGGGCGUAAAGCGCACGUAGGCGGCUUUGUAAGUUAGAGGUGAAAGCCCGGGGCUCAACUCCGGAAUUGCCCUUAAGACUGCAUCGCUCGAAUUGUGGAGAGGUAAGUGGAAUUCCGAGUGUAGAGGUGAAAUUCGUAGAUAUUCGGAAGAACACCAGUGGCGAAGGCGGCUCACUGGCCCGAUACUGACGCUGAGGCACGAAAGCGUGGGGAGCAAACAGG